rnacentral:lncRNA from 1 species
GGACAAUUUUGGGAUCUUCUUCAAAUAAAGGAUUAUAAAACUCUACAGAAAUUGGGUUCUAUAGCUAUGGAUGUUAAACUUAAUCUUCUUCAUAAUAUUUUCCAGGAGCUGGUUUCUUCUGGUCCUCAGCCUCCCAGUUAAAUGUCUCAAUAUGCCUGUGCAAAACAAGGGGGGAGGAGGAAUACACCAUCCUGGAGUAAAAAGUCGCCUUCUGACUAACCUAAGGAGGACGUGAAAAGAUCCAAGAUUGGACACGUGAAGAAUAUGGGAGAAAACACAUGGUUUCUUGAGACAUCAAACUGCAUGCACAAUAAUGAACAGGUAUAAUUGUUGAGUCUAACCCUGGCAGAGAAGGAUUUUUUUCUAUCGUAAGUUGCUUGAGAAGUAUCUUACUUAAAAAAAAAAUCAUAAAAUCUCAUGGCAGAAUCUGAGGCAAACCAUGUGUGUGAGGCAACACACACUGCUUGGUUAUCAGUGCACAGCAUUCUCUUUCAAUAACAGUUCAGGCUCCAAUUUGUGUUUGGGUCCAAGUAUCCAAUGUCAUUGGUUUUUGUAGGAUGACUGGACUCAUCUCAACAUUUGAGCUUAAGAGUAAGGUAGCUUAUUUUUUUUUUUAAGCUGAACAAAAAGCACAUCACUUAUUACAUAGCCAAAAUAUAAGAACACACAAAAUAGACUUCAUGCUUUGCUGAUUUCAUUUAAUUUAGUUGAUAGUUUUGUGGCAAUUCCUAUAUGGCACACGGAAUUCUUGUUCUAUUGAUAAAGAAGUUCCAUGUCUAACUUGCUCAUAGGCCUCCUCAGUGACUAAUACAGAAUCCAAAACCUAGGAGCACUGGUUAAAGACCUAAGCCUCUAGGCUAAUAAGGAAGGUCAUGUUAGGUAGCAUGCUCACAGUCCCAUUCUGAAACUUACUAAGACAAUUUGUGAAGCCUACCCCUUCAAGUACAGAACUCGAGUCUUUUUGAAGAAUGGAAAUACACCAGCCAAGAACAACUAACCAUUGACUUGUCUGAAUGUUGGAAACAUAAUGGCUUUGAAGUGGUAUCUUUCUUCCACUUAAUGGCCCUAAACAUUAAAGAAAUUGGAAUUGGCAGGGUCUGUGGGGCUACUAGUCUUUAACAUACUGGGGCUUCCAAAUGGUGGCUUUCUGCUGCCAGCUAGUAUAAUAUUAAAGAUUUAUAGGCAAUAAAACAGAGACAGGUGGCCAGCCAUAAGUUGCCAUGAACUGCACAUGGGAAACAAUCUCCAGUUUAUGUUGCUUGAUAAGACAGUGAUUGGCCGUAAUUGCUCCUUGGUUUCACAGGCUUACUUCUUCAGAAAACCAAAGGUCCUUGAGCAUAAGGCUUAUGGUCUUACUAACAAGCAUCCAUCAUGACACAAUGAUGAUAAGAAGAGUCCCGUGUAGACCCCUCUGUAGAGAGCUUUGCAUAUCAGCCCCCUACUAUUUUAGGCCACUGCUACUUGAAUGAGUCCAUUAAUCUAACAGAUUGAGCAACUGUCAAGUCCUACACUGUACACGUGCAUAGCAAAAGCCACAGUCUUAUGAAAGCCCUUUCUGCAGCUGACACAGUAUACAUUUCCCAAAACAAUCAUGUGUCACCUCCCAGGAGAUCUCAUGCAUAUCUUCCCAAUGGAGUUCAGGUAUCUCCCCUAGGGAAACCCAGGCAUCUCCCCCACACCAGGAGAGUCCAGGCAUCUCCUCCAAUGGAUCUCAUGCACCUCCUGCCAAUGGAACCCAGACAUAUUCCUUCAGGGGAACCCGGGCAUCCCGGUGGAACCCAAGUAUCUUCCUGAGUGGAAACGAGGCAUUUUCCUAUAGUGGACCUUAGUCACUUUCUCUUAUUGGAGACCAGGCAUCUUUCUUCUCUCAUUGGAGCCCGGCUGUCUCCCACCAAUGGAUCCAAUUUUUCCUGCAUCUUGCCAAUUUGUCAUUCAGUUGGCCUCAUGUAAGAAUCAAGUAGUUACCCCAAUGGAGAGAAAUGGGUGUUCUGAGAAGAUACUCUUGUGCCCACCUACCCUGGAUGUGUGAAAAAGAAUACUAACCGACUUCCCCCUCACCUCUGUUUCUACUAUUAUCUUUAAAUUCACAAGCACUCUGGUAAAGAAUAAUUGGAAUAUUGUAUGGAAAGUGCUUUGCUAUGAAGCUGGUAUUAAAUAAAUAAUAAAUUAUUUCUUGUUUAGAGUACAAUGUUAUGUGCUUUUCUUUGUUCCUUUUAGUUCUGGGCAGUUUGCACUGGGUAGAAGAAG